UACGUAGGGUGCGAGCGUUAAUCGGAAUUACUGGGCGUAAAGGGUGCGUAGGCGGUUUGAUAAGUCUGAUGUGAAAUCCCCGGGCUUAACCUGGGAACGGCAUUGGAGACUGUCAAGCUAGAGUGCGGCAGAGGGGGGUAGAAUUCCACGUGUAGCAGUGAAAUGCGUAGAGAUGUGGAGGAAUACCGAUGGCGAAGGCAGCCCCCUUGGAUGACACUGACGCUGAAGCACGAAAGCGUGGGGAGCAAACAGG
rnacentral:rRNA from 1 species